AUUGAACGCUGGCGGCAGGCCUAACACAUGCAAGUCGAGCGAGCGGCGGACGGGUGAAUACUGGAUUGGGAUCUGCCUGAUGGAGGGGGAUAACUACUGUAAACGGUAGCUAAUACCGCAUACCAUCAGAUGAGCCCAUAUGGGAUUAGCUGGUUGGUAAGGUAACGGCUCACCUAGGCGACGAUCUCUAGCUGGUCUGAGAGGAUGAUCAGCCACACUGGGACUGAGACACGGCCCAGACUCCUACGGGAGGCAGCAGUGGGGAAUAUUGCACAAUGGGCGCAAGCCUGAUGCAGCCAUGCCGCGUGUAUGAAGAAGGCCUUAGGGUUGUAAAGUACUUUCAGCGGGGAGGCGUUACCCGCAGAAGAAGCACCGGCUAACUCCGUGCCAGCCGCCGCGGUAAUUC
rnacentral:rRNA from 1 species